rnacentral:rRNA from 1 species
GACGAACGCUGGCGGCGUGCUUAACACAUGCAAGUCGAACGGUGAAGCGCCUUCCUUUUUGGUGGGUGUGGAUGAGUGGCGAACGGGUGAGUAACACGUGAGUAACCUGCCCCCUUCUUCUGGAUAACCGCAUGAAAGUGUGGCUAAUACGGGAUAUUCUGGGUCUGUCGCAUGAUGGGUCUGGGAAAGAUAUUGUUUCGGUGGGGGAUGGGCUCGCGGCCUAUCAGCUUGUUGGUGGGGUGAUGGCCUACCAAGGCGGUGACGGGUAGCCGGCCUGAGAGGGUGGACGGUCACACUGGGGAUGAGACACGGCCCAGACUCCUACGGGAGGCAGCAGUGAGGAAUAUUGCACAAUGGGCGGAAGCCUGAUGCAGCGACGCCGCGUGAGGGAUGGGGGCCUUCGGGUUGUAAACCGCUUUCGCCAGUGAAGCAGGCCUGCCUCGUUUGUGGGUGGGUUGACGGUAGCUGGAUAAGAAGCGCCGGCUAACUACGUG